rnacentral:rRNA from 1 species
UACGUAGGGUGCGAGCGUUGUCCGGAAUUAUUGGGCGUAAAGAGCUCGUAGGCGGUCUGUCGCGUCGAAUGUGAAAACCCGGGGCUCAACUCCGGGCUUGCAUUCGAUACGGGCAGGCUAGAGUUCGGUAGGGGAGACUGGAAUUCCUGGUGUAGCGGUGAAAUGCGCAGAUAUCAGGAGGAACACCGGUGGCGAAGGCGGGUCUCUGGGCCGAUACUGACGCUGAGGAGCGAAAGCGUGGGGAGCAAACAGG